CUGGGAUUAAUACCGCAUAGUAUCGAAAGAUUAAAGCAGCAAUGCGCUUGGGGAUGGGCUCGCGGCCUAUUAGUUAGUUGGUGAGGUAACGGCUCACCAAGGCGAUGACGGGUAGCCGGUAUGAGAGGAUGUCCGGCCACACUGGAACUGAGACACGGUCCAGACACCUACGGGUGGCAGCAGUCGAGAAUCAUUCACAAUGGGGGAAACCCUGAUGGUGCGACGCCGCGUGGGGGAAUGAAGGUCUUCGGAUUGUAAACCCCUGUCAUGUGGGAGCAAAUUAAAAAGAUAGUACCACAAGAGGAAGAGACGGCUAACUCUGUGCCAGCAGCCGCGGUAAUACAGAGGUCUCAAGCGUUGUUCGGAAUCACUGGGCGUAAAGCGUGCGUAGGCUGUUUCGUAAGUCGUGUGUGAAAGGCGCGGGCUCAACCCGCGGACGGCACAUGAUACUGCGAGACUAGAGUAAUGGAGGGGGAACCGGAAUUUUCGGUGUAGCAGUGAAAUGCGUAGAUAUCGAGAGGAACACUCGUGGCGAAGGCGGGUUCCUGGACAUUAACUGACGCUGAGGCACGAAGGCCAGGGGAGCGAAAGGGAUUAGAUACCCCUGUAGUCCUGGCAGUAAACGGUGCACGCUUGGUGUGCGGGGAAUCGACCCCCUGCGUGCCGGAGCUAACGCGUUAAGCGUGCCGCCUGGGGAGUACGGUCGCAAGAUUAAAACUCAAAGAAAUUGACGGGGACCCGCACAAGCGGUGGAGUAUGUGGCUUAAUUCGAUGCAACGCGAAGAACCUUACCUGGGCUUGACAUGUAAUGAACAACAUGUGAAAGCAUGCGACUCUUCGGAGGCGUUACACAGGUGCUGCAUGGCCGUCGUCAGCUCGUGUCGUGAGAUGUUUGGUUAAGUCCAGCAACGAGCGCAACCCCUGUUGCCAGUUACCAGCACGUGAAGGUGGGGACUCUGGCGAGACUGCCCAGAUCAACUGGGAGGAAGGUGGGGAGGACGUCAGGUCAGUAUGGCCCUUAUGCCCAGGGCUGCACACGUACUACAAUGCCCAGUACAGAGGGGGCCGAAGCCGCGAGGCGGAGGAAAUCCUAAAAACUGGGCCCAGUUCGGACUGUAGGCUGCAACCCGCCUACACGAAGCCGGAAUCGCUAGUAAUGGCGCAUCAGCUACGGCGCCGUGAAUAAAAGCCCCGGUCUUGCACA
rnacentral:rRNA from 1 species